AAAGAAAACAGUUUCCUAUUCCUAUCUGCUCAGAUGACUCUUGAAUUACUGUUACUCUCCUUCUUUCCAGUUUUCAGGAAGAAAACACCUGAGAGGGAUGGGUUUGCACAGUGAUUUGUUUGGGUUUUUUGCUGCUGCCUAUUUCUCUCGGGCUUCGGAAGUCUCCAUCCAGGAAGAGAGAAGUUUCACCUCAUCCCACAGAAAUCUACCAUGGGAAGUUACAGGUGACAACACACAUGCACCAAGUGAAAGUCCAGCCUUCCACAGCUAAGAUAAAUAGUGAUCAUACUGCAAGGCUUUGAAGGAAAACCAGACAACGCUUCUUGAGCAAAUAUUCCUAACAAGAACAACAAAUCUCCAGCAAAAAUAGCAAUGUUUUGUACUCUCCUUACAUUCUGUUAUGUAUACUGUACAAAACAAAA